UAUGUGGGUCAACACAGAUUUAUUGCAAUUCUUUUUAUGGAUGUUAAUUAGGUUUCUGUUAUAUUAUUUCAGGUUUCUUUGUUAUUUAGAUUUGCGGCAUACUGUUGGGAAUGAGAAAUAAUUAUAUUAUAAUUAUAUUAUAUUAUGCUAUGGCAAUUACCUUAUGAGAUUCGAACCGGGGUACUUCUCCAACAUGUGUGUUUCUCUGUUGUGCAUUUGCUAUCUGGACCACUGUUGAAAUAUAUAAAUGAAUUGAAAAUUGUCCUAUUUAAACAACCGCUCAGAUAUCUGCUCACAAAGAUCAUAUAUGAGCGGUUCUGGAAAUGAACAAGACAAACCUAUCGCAAUUCAAUAAUAAUUGGAAGGGUAAAAAUUUUCUGGUCUGUUCUACACGACGUCGGUUGUUAUUGAUCGCAUUACUCGUACGCGUUUGACGUUUCCAAAAAUCAAAACAAAAUACGUGUUCGGUCUGUUCCCCACUUGUAAUCGAUUUGUCCUUGUCGUUUUGAAUGAUUAACAGAAAACAUGCCCGAAAACUCGUUUAGACGUCCGAACAUUCCUAUCUGUGUUGCCUUCGUUGUGGAUAUUAAAAAACGGAUGGAGAUCCUAUGGACCGGACGAUUCAUAUAAUGACGAUAACGGCAAUGAUCUGUGCUUUUGGCCAAAAGACGGCUACCGUCUGCUCGAAAAAUCGAAGAAAAGGCCCCCCCAUCAAACCAGAUCUAAAAGUGUUGCGCGCUUUUCGGCGCAAGAUCAAAUUCUUGAGCUGUUCUGAUGUGUUCUGUGAGCUUAGGAUUAUGGAAAUGAAUUCCGAUACGGAAGAAAACAACACAAUGAUGAAAAUAAGACCAGCCUCAACGGCAGCUGACUUUUUCAAGCAUAUCCAACAUUCAAGCCCAGGGCCAUAUCGAGAAUCUGCAGCUUCAAACCAAGGCGUCGAAAUAGCAGAAAGUCCGUCGUCUGAAUCAAUAAAUGAUUCACAAAGCGAAAUGGAAUGCAACAGUUUAUCACAGUUGAAGAUGAACGGAAGUGAUAAAAAUCUAUUCCCAGUAUCUGGGCAGAAUCCAUCGAUGAAUAUGUUGAAUUCUGAUGAUGAUUUUACUGGAUGAAAUGAAUAUUACUCAAAGUGAAACUUUAUUGCCGCAGAAUAUCUUCUCGAGUCAUUCUUAAUUCUUUAUGUCUUAUAGAUCCACUUAGUCCCUAUUAUCACUGAUAUCUAACGCAAAACUCUGUGUAUUAUAUAUAAAAAUGAUACGUU